ensembl:lncRNA ETS2-AS1 ETS2 antisense RNA 1
ACAGGGGGUCUUCUCUCUUGGCUUUGGAGCUCCCCAUUCCUCUGUGUCUGUAACAGGGGAGCUUCUUCCUUCUUUCUUCUCCCUUCUUUCUUGCCUGUUAAACUCUCUGCUUCUUAAAACCACUCCAUGUAUGUCCAGGUCAUUUUAUCUAAUUUGGAGACGGAGAACCCUGGUGUUCCUCUGCUCAUCAGAGCCGUCUCACCUGCAAGGGCCAGGAUCCAGCACUAGGGCUGCCCUUUAUGUUCAUGCAGCCUCCACUAGGAAGAUCCUCCUUAGCUGCCACCUGCUGUAAAGGGAUCUAUCUAUCUAUCUGUCUAUCUAUCUAUCUAUCUAUCUUUCUAUCUACCUGUCGAGAGAGAGAGAGGUUUAUUAUAAGGAAUUGACUCAUGUGAUUAUGGAGGCUGAGAAGUUCCACAGUCUGCUGUCUGCAAGCUGGAGACCCAGGAAGGCUGCUGGUGCCGUUCCAGUUUGAUUCUGAAGGCCUGAGAACCAGAACUGAUGGUAUGAGUUCUAGUCCAAGUCCACAGAAAUGAAACUGGAGAACCAAAGGUCCCACUCAACAUGAAGAUGACAAGGAUGAAGACCUUUAUGAUGAUCCAUUCCCACUUACUGAAUAGAUGAAGCUUCUUGGUGAUGUAACAGUCUGUGGAAACUCCCACAGGACAAAUGCAGAAAGGAAGGACCUAGAUCACUGGAUGGUCAACGUUGCCCCUUGCACAGCAGCAAAGGCCUAUACAAAUUUUUUGAGUAGCUUUAUCUAGUGGUUCAGCUACUGGGAAUAACUUGUAAAAUCCCCUGGAUAGUCAACAGCAUUGGGGCUUGCUUUGUAAACAGAGACCUGACCUACUUAAUUCUUCCCAGAGGUUGGAAAAAGAGGCUGGACUCACACAGACAUGAAACCUUGGCUUAAUUGGACACUAAUUACUCAUAAGAGAUCUGUUUACCCGAACUUCCCCUAGACCAAGCUCAGUAUAAAAUGAGAGGAUGCAUAAAGAAGCAAGAUAUUUAGAGGAAAAUGUCACAAAUACAUUUAUCAGUCCCAAAAGUCCUUUUUUUUCCCCAGAAGUGAUGUUGCUAAUUGCACAAAAAUAAACAAUACAGGGGUUGAUAAAUUCCACAUUUAAGGGCUGAGGAUAGUGUCCCUACAUUUCUAAGAAGCUGUAUAUUUGGAAAUGAAUACAAUUGAAAGUAAGGAUAAGUGGCAUUCUAAAGCCAAUUGGAUAACUUGAAUGAACAAGCAGAAUUUACCAUAUUUUGAUAUGUUUCUUUUUGAUUAAAGUAUCUGUAAAGGAAACAAA